AUGCCCCAAGAGGCUGCUGCCGCACCAAACGCUGCCGAUGAACAGGUUGCUGUAGGGGUCGGAAUCGAGUACGAGGAUGAGGCCUCUGCCUCCAACAUCACCACGGAUGCCACGGAACUGCCGCCUCCUCCACCGGUGUAUGCGCCCAUGGAGUGGAUGCUUGCCAGACCAAGCGCCGGAUGGCUCGUCGACGACCCAGAUCGCUACUUCUCCGACGAGGAACUCGCAGCGCCGCCUCCGCCGCUGAUGUACUCUUGCCCAGGCUACGGGUACGGAUCGGGCCUCCCGUCCCCGACGCCAUCUGACGAGGACCCGGAGCACUUCAAGCCGCCGGGCUACGACCCACUGCCGGAGUUCUCCUCGCCGCCUGCUGCAGUCCCUCUGGACGCGCCCAAGCCCCGACUCGUCAUCAACCUCCUGCCGAAGGUGAAGACGGAGGAGAUCGAGGCCGCUGCGCCGACGCUCGCUCUCCUAGCGCGCCGCGACCUCAACCUCCCGGCGCUGGAAGUGGAGGAGGAGGAGCGCCAGGUAGCAGCGCGGCCGUCCGCACUCCCGACGCCCUCGCCGGAAGCCCGUGUGCUCCUCCGCCGCUUUGCAUCAGCCAUGGCUGUCCGCCCCACUGGAGCCCGCGCCGGCACUUGGUCGCCCGAGGAACUUGGCCUCACCGGCCGUGUCGCGGAUCUCCGCCCCCAUGAGGCCGCCCCCCAACUCCCCUCCUCCUCUGCGGAGGGGCCGCGCCGCCGCUGA
rnacentral:rRNA from 1 species